rnacentral:rRNA from 2 species
GGUUAAUAGGUUCGAGGUGGAAGCAUGGUGACAUGUGGAGCUGACGAAUACUAAUCGAUCGAAGACUUAAUCAA